rnacentral:rRNA from 1 species
GAUGAACGCUGGCGGCGUGCCUAAUACAUGCAAGUCGAGCGAACGGACGAGAAGCUUGCUUCUCUGAUGUUAGCGGCGGACGGGUGAGUAACACGUGGAUAACCUACCUAUAUGACUGGGAUAACUUCGGGAAACCGGAGCUAAUACCGGAUGAUAUUUUGAACCGCAUGGUUCAAAAGUGAAAGACGGUCUUGCUGUCUCUUAUAGAUGGAUCCGCGCUGCAUUAGCUAGUUGGUAAGGUAACGGCUUACCAAGGCAACGAUGCAUAGCCGACCUGAGAGGGUGAUCGGCCACACUGGAACUGAGACACGGUCCAGACUCCUACGGGAGGCAGCAGUAGGGAAUCUUCCGCAAUGGGCGAAAGCCUGACGGAGCAACGCCGCGUGAGUGAUGAAGGUCUUCGGAUCGUAAAACCCUGUUAUUAGGGAAGAACAUAUGUGUAAGUAACUGUGCACAUCUUGACGGUACCUAAUCAGAAAGCCACGGCUAACUACGUG